AUACGGUUUCUUUGGCUGUUCCCAGCUUCAUCUUCUUGAUUCCCGCUUCACCGUGCACUCCCGCGCCUAGUUCCAUCUCAUCAUCAGCUAUCUCGAACAGCGGCAGUUGACCUGAGUUUCAAAACGGAGUAAAUUGCAUGAGCACGUGCCCCGUGGGUGGCGAAGCGAACACGCCGCCUGCCACCGCACCGUCCAGCAUGCCGCCUCCAACCAGACCUGGAAACGAAUUCCUACUAAAUCAGCAACCACAACACCAUAAUUGGCGUCGGUGGCGACAGUCACCCACUCGCCCAAUUCCUGUCGCUGAAUGACCGCAUGUGACGACCCCUGCCGAAGGUUGUUGCGAGGGUUCGCAGCCACCUAAAAAGCGUGGCCACAUAGUGGAUAUACUCGUUGGUGAGCCCCGAAACGACGACUCGGCGUGGCAGGCCGAGACGUUCCAUGGCGUUACCGACUACGUCGCGUAUGCGGCGCCCAGACAUGGUGGUAGGCUCGCCAGGCACGCC